rnacentral:lncRNA from 1 species
AAGUUCUUGAAUUUAUGCUGCUCUUUUUUUUCUGAAACCGAAUACCAGGCUGCCAUUCUCUCUGCGAAGGGGUUUGAGGAGGAAGGUGACUAGUCUGGUGCUGCAGCGCGACGUUGCUGUAGAAGCGUUGCUGCUUUGGAAAGCCCUUAAUGACGGAAGCUCAUAUUAAGAAAACCCUCCAGAGCAGGGAGCCAGAGGAUGUCUUUGAGUUUUGUUGGGGAGACGCCUGCGAGCGGGACGUGGUGGUAGCAGCAGCUCCCGGAGAGGGCCCCAACCAGCCAGACCCUCAUCUCUUGCUCCGGCCUUCCCUGUCGUCUCCGUUUUGUAGACGCUCAGAUACCAGGCUGGCAGCAACUGCAUCAGAUGAGACCGGAAGGCUGAAGACAGGCACUCUGAGCGCUCUUUGAGAGACGGCAGCUGCAGAGCGAGGUCUGCAAGGCAAAGCUCGGAUGAUAGCAUCUGAAAUCAAAGCAGGGCCUGAUUAAAGUGAGACUAUCGUGAUGCCUGGGGAAUUUGAGUAUAGGAGAUGACAGAGAGCCAAAAAAGACCUCCGGAAGCAAUGUACAGAUUCAAAUGGUGAUACUUCAGUGGCUGGAAAAAAAUGAUCUGUGAUGAAAGGAGACACUGAUUCCCAACUAGACCACCCCAGUGAUGCUACAGUGCAAAUAAUGAUUAGCUCGUUCAAGCCAAACUUUGAAAUUCCUUUCUGAAAAACACAUUGUCCUAAAUUCUUUUUCCUCUGCUCAUGUGUUCAAUUAAAUGUCUGUUCACUAAAUACUUUAUAAUAAUACUUUAUAAUAAUCUCAUGUCAACUCAAAGUCUUACAGGCAUAUGCUGGUACUCAGCCACUUUGCUUCCCUGCGUUGUAGAAUUUUGAUUCCUUUUAUAGGUUGCCUGAGCCCAUUGCACAUGUCAUAAGCUACUGUGGCUGGCCACGUUGUCUCAUUUCUUUGCAGUUGGCAAACACUGCUGUGCUUUAGAUUCUGCUAAUCAUGACAACCAACCUACUCACAUUACUUAAAUCACUAAUCCCAUGAAAUAACUUUAGGGAGUGUCACUGCCUAAAGCAGGCCAAAAAAUUAAAAAUUCUCCUCUAGAAUGCAAUGUCAAUCAGGCAGAACAGCUAUAUUUUAAAUGUUAUCAACAGGGAAAGAAAAGUCAAAACCUCUCCUUUUUUAUUCAAAAAAUCUCUUUAGUUGUGAGAAUGCUAUCUAAUUCAAGAAAUACGCUAAGUUAAACUACCAUUUAUCUGUAACUCUUCUGGUACCCCCAAAUAGUCAAACUUCCUUAUCCUAUGCCCACCUUAGCUGAAAAUAGGGAGACUGCAAUUUUUGUUGUGAGUCACAAAACAGUAACUUAUCCCUUCCAGUGUUUCUUGUGAGGAAGACAGUAUAUAGGAAUUCAAGCAUCCCCAAAUAAUGAAGAUUAUUUUAAAAUAAAUGUUUGCCAGCUAAAAGAAUUCCUUUGAUA